rnacentral:lncRNA from 1 species
CCAGGCGCCAUUCCUGCCCUGGGCCCUCAUGGGCUUCUCGCUGCUUCUGGGCAACUCGGUUAUCACAGACCUGCUAGGGAUCAUUGUGGGCCACAUCUACUACUUCCUAGAAGAUGUCUUUCCCAACCAGCCUGGAGGCAAGAGACUGCUGCUGACCCCUAGCUUCUUGAAGCUACUACUAGAUGACCCUCAGGAGGACCCCAAUUACCUGCCCCUCCCUGAGGAGCAUCCAGAGGCCUAACUGCAGCUCCUGGAACAUGACAGGACACGGAGCCCAGAGAGGCCUAAGACUGCCUAGAGAUGCCCGGCAGAGUUCUGAACUACAGACCCAAGGACUCAUCUUCACGCUGUCUGUCUGUCAGGGUCUUGAUGGGGACCUCAGUCCCAGUCAUUAGAGCUGGUGCCAUCCGCCUAGCCUGUCUUUGUCCUCACCUUCUCUAGCUGGUCCCAUGGACAAGUUUGGCUCUCUGCCAUGCUAGUGAGCCCAGGGCCUUGAGCUCUAUUUAAGCAGCAGCCCGGGUACAGCAGAGGUAGUUCUGGGACAUCCCAUCUGUCUUGCAGCUGAAGGCCUGUGUGGGCAGGUGUCCCUACCUGGUUUUCCUUGUUGGUAUACAUCUGCCCCACGGGGCUUACUCCUGAAUGCCCACCCAACAGCAUGGGAAUUCCCCGUACCAUUGCCUGUCAUUUCUAUGGUAACAAAAAUGUUUUCUACUGAGUCUGACUCAAUUUUGUAGUGAAACCUGGUGUGGCUGCUGCUGCGUGGAGAGGGAGGGUUUUAAAACUAGCAGGCUCUGAGGGGUGGAUGGGGUGGAGUAGAGUACUCCCUAGGCUGACCCACUGAGUGAGGGUAGCUAUAGUGUCACCAUCUUCAGUGACCACCUGUAUGACCAAUUUGCCAAGCAAAGCUCGCCUUAGUGCAGUUCCAUGUCACCUUAAUGGAUCCCAUGUCCACUCUAUACCACAAACCACGGACAAGGAAUGAGCCUACCUAAGCACAGCUUGGGGGAUGGAGGAAGAGGCUCUACCUCCUCUCUAUACUCUGCUAACCAAAAAGGCGGGCACAUGGCUGGCAUGCUAUUUCCC